UAGGGAAUCUUCGGCAAUGGACGAAAGUCUGACCGAGCAACGCCGCGUGAGUGAAGAAGGUUUUCGGAUCGUAAAACUCUGUUGUUAGAGAAGAACAAGGACGUUAGUAACUGAACGUCCCCUGACGGUAUCUAACCAGAAAGCCACGGCUAACUACGUGCCAGCAGCCGCGGUAAUACGUAGGUGGCAAGCGUUGUCCGGAUUUAUUGGGCGUAAAGCGAGCGCAGGCGGUUUCUUAAGUCUGGUGUGAAAGCCCCCGGCUCAACCGGGGAGGGUAAUUGGAAAAUGGGAGACGUGAGUGCAGAAGAGGAGAGUGGAGUUCCGUUUGUAGCGGUGAAAUGCGUAGAUAUAUGGAGGAACACCAGUGGCGAAGGCGGCUCUCUGGUCUGUAACUGACGCUGAGGCUCGAAAGCGUGGGGAGCAAACAGG
rnacentral:rRNA from 1 species